AGCUAAUGGACUUUACUUCCUCUGC
rnacentral:miRNA from 1 species